CUGCUGCCUCCCGUAGGAGUCUGGGCCGUGUCUCAGUCCCAAUGUGGCCGUCCACCCUCUCAGGCCGGCUACUGAUCGUCGCCUUGGUGGGCCGUUACCCC
rnacentral:rRNA from 1 species